GUCUGUUGGCCUUAUUAGCAAAGAGUCAUUCAGUCUCUGCGUAUUGGUCUGGAUCCACAUUAAAUAUAUAAAAGCUCUCUGCCCUGCAGGAGAUCUGCAAGCUUUCACAGACUUGAGGUUCCUUCUAGAAAGCAGACUGAGGUAGAAAAGAUAAAUUGAGAAUGGAGCAAAUCUAAGGGAAUAUCCUAAGAGGCCUGAAAAUAAGAAAAUCCUGAUUUUUUUUUCCAUCUCAUGUGUUGCACAGUUUGUACUUCAUCGUGAUUCAAGUUUUCACUCUUUCAUCUCAAGAGAACAGAAACAUGAGCAAAAUAAGAGCUCCUGUUAUAGUUAGGCUUUGUAUACAAGGCUCUUGAAGAGAAAUCGUUGUUAUCAAGGGUGUGUUCCUCAGAGAUGAUUAAACUUUUAAAAUAUUGCUCUGUUCUGGAACUUUUACUGGCAAAGUUUAACUGAAGUUUAAGUAUUAGCAGAGCUCCUGACCAGCCUUUGCGCCACCAUCUCUGUGCAGCUCCCCUCAGUGGCACCAUAAAUGCUUGGGGUGUGGAUGUGAAGUGCAGCUCCAUCAUUGUGGUCUCAAAGCCUGUGGUGUAGGAAGAAGCAGAUGGAAUAUUUCACAGCUGAGAUGAGCCUUAAAAUCUUCAAAUAGCUUUAGGUUCUCUGAAGCUUAUAAUGGUUUCACCUAUUAAAAUUUGAGUUGCAGUAGGAAGUUUUUUCUGUGCUGACUUCUGUGAUAUACCAGAGAAUGAUGCAUUCAAAAGCUGUGUUCAGGAGCAAACUAAUUAAAUAAUAAAGUAUCCUGAGCUACUGGUUUGCAAUCUUUAGAUCUGUAAACAACCCCCUCUCUGUGCCACGUAAGAAUAAUGUUAGGAUUAUAACACUGAACACUUGAACAGUGUCAUGCUUAAGAUAGAUGGCAGAAUGCUAAUGUCACCCUUUUCUGAGCAGGUAUCACAUAUGCUGGUCAUCUCAUUGUUUAAUUUCAGGUUCCCAUUCUAGAAUCUUUAGUCAAGAGAUUUUUGAGGACAAAUGUGCUUUAUAUGAAAUCUUGCUGUUACACAAGUUGCUUAAACCUACAUAUAAGCUAAAUGAGUGUUUACAAGGAAAAAAUCUGAAGAAACUUCAUUACAAGGCAUUAAUUUAAGAAAAGCCUGUAACGUCUGAAGAUAUGAGUAGAGUACACCCAGAGAAUAGGGCUUAGAAUAUUUUCCUCGCAGCAGGUGAUGCUGCUUCCUUUCUUGCUACAUUCUACACUGAAGUUGUAAAUUGGGUAUAUGUUUCACAUGAGGUCUAUUGGCUUCUACUCUUUGCCUCCCUGUUGUAAAGGUUGUAAAUUGUUGACAAUAUCUAAAAUUGGCAUUGUUAAAAAGAAAUGUAUACCACAAACUAAUGUUUUGUCAGAAAACUUGAUAAUAGCGAGUAUUUGUAAAAUAAAUCAGUAAAAAUCAUAGUGCAUACAUGAGUCAGUUCAGCUUUUGGCAGAUCAAAGUAACUUUUGUGAGCAGUCUUUCUGUAAAAAUAAAAAAAAUAAAAAAAUCAGUCAAGAAAUAUUUACAUUCAG
rnacentral:lncRNA from 7 species